GGAGAGGUGGCAGAGUGGUCGAAUGUACCUGACUCGAAAUCAGGCGAAGGGGCGACCCUUCCGAGGGUUCGAAUCCCUCCCUCUCCGCCA
rnacentral:tRNA from 2 species